AGCAGCCGCGGUAAUUCCAGCUCCAAUAGCGUAUAUUAAAGUUGUUGCAGUUAAAAAGCCCGUAGUUGAAUUUCGGGGUUAGCAGGUCGGUCGUGCCAUCGGUAUGAACUGGUCUCGCUGAUCCCUCCCUCUUGACGAACUGUGAUGCCAUUAAUUUGGUGUCGCAGGGAAUCAGGACUGUUACUUUGAAAAAUUAGAGUGUUUAAAGCAGGCUCACGCUUGAAUACAUUAGCAUGGAAUAAUGAAAUAGGACGUUUGAUCCUAUUUUGUUGGCUUCUAGGAUUGACGUAAUGAUUAAUAGGGAUAGUUGGGGGCAUUAGUAUUCAAUUGUCAGAGGUGAAAUUCUUGGAUUUAUUGAAGACUAACUACUGCGAAAGCAUUUGCCAAGGAUGUUUUCAUUAAUCAAGAACGAAAGUUAGGGGAUCGAAGACGAUCAGAUACCGUCGUAGUCUUAACCAUAAACUAUGCCGACUAGGGAUCGGAUGAUGUUAAUUUUUUAAUGACUCU
rnacentral:misc_RNA from 1 species